rnacentral:lncRNA from 1 species
GCCCAAAGCAAAGAGAACCAUGUGUUCUACCCUUUUUAAACCUUAGCCUGAAACACUUUGGAAAACCUUUUGAGAAAAAAUCUUUACCUUGAGUUGAGUUGAGAAUAAUUGAAGGGUAUUGAUAAAUGUUCAAGUUUGGGGUUGUUGGGGGAAUGGAAAGGAAAAAGGAAGCAUUGAGCUAAUGUGUUUAAUGAAAAAGCAUGAGAAAAUAGAAAAGAAAAGAAAAGAAAAGCAUAAAAGAUAAGCUCAAUGCAAAGUAAAAGAAAAAGGGAAAAGUUGGGAAUAAGUGAGAUUGGUUGAAAGAGAGUCGGUACUUGAACUGUGAAUGUUGAAUAACUCUCUUAACUCAAGGAUUUUGUGAUCUGAAAAACCAAUGUUUCUUGUGAACCCAGCCAUAUUAUAAGCUUUGAAAAAGUCUUUGUGAUGGCCUUUGUGUGUGAGAAUGUUAAUUGUAGUAGAUGAAAGGCAAUUUUGUUUCAUGUGACUUGUGGAUAGCAGAGAAAAGAGUGACCUCCU